UACGGGGGGGGCAAGCGUUGUUCGGAAUUACUGGGCGUAAAGGGCUCGUAGGCGGCCAACUAAGUCCGACGUGAAAUCCCAAGGCUUAACCUUGGAACUGCGUCGGAUACUGGAUGGCUUGAAUUCGGGAGAGGGAUGCAGAAUUCCAGGUGUAGCGGUGAAAUGCGUAGAUAUCUGGAGGAAUACCGGUGGCGAAGGCGGCAUCCUGGACCGACAUUGACGCUGAGGAGCGAUAGCUAGGGGAGCAAACGGG
rnacentral:rRNA from 1 species